rnacentral:pre_miRNA from 1 species
UACGAUAAUGUCUGUGGCUCAGAUUGGUGUAUAAAUUCUGACCGUGGACAAUAUGGUACU